UGCAAGGUCCCGGCUGGUUCUAAGAGCCAAAUACCAAUUUGUGGUGAGGGCUCAGGAUUCGGGCCAGGGGCUGCAUCCGGGGGAAGGGGUCUGUAUUCCCAGAGCCUGUGAUUUCAGCCCGCUGGGCUCAGGCAGAGGGCAAAGCUACCCUCUUUGGGGUCUUCUCCCAGCCCUGCUAAUUCCGGGCCUGACUGCUCAAGAAGUGUUUCUACCUGCAGCAUCAGGGGCCUGACUGAAGCCCUAAGUUCUCCCCUUUAUCCCG
rnacentral:lncRNA from 1 species